CGUUUGAAACGAUUUUAGUGCUUGUUUUAUGCAUUCUGUGUAAUAAUGAAGAUUAUCAAGUACAAGCAAAACAAAGGAUUGGCGAAGAGUCAUUUGGAGGUAUUUAUGAAAAUGAAUUAGACGUACAAACGAACGAUAAAGUUGUUUCUUUAGAAUAUGACACAAGACUACUUAAGCCGAAAUCUGAAAGACGAGAUGAUAUGACAAUAACAAACGAUAAUGCUUUUCCAUUAUACUAUGAAUCAAUAAUGAAUAGUCUAUUGGAAUUAGGAAAAGAUGUCGAAAAACUGAACGAAAAAGUUGUAAAAACAAAUAGAAAAAAGAAAAAGUACCCAACAGUUCUUAGACCGAUGGAAUCUAAAAGAAGAAAUGAUAUUGAUAAAACGAACGACAAAGUUGUUUCGUUGGAGUAUCACACAAGAAGACCCGACAAUAGACGCAUAAUAAACGACUAUGGGACAAGAGUGAAUAGUCUAGUGGAAUCUAAAAGAAGAGACAAUGUCGUACAAACGAACGAAAACGUUGUUUCAUUAGAGUAUGAGAAAAGAGAGCCUAAGCCGGUGGGAUCUAGAAGCAGACAUAAUAUCGUUAAAACAAUCGACAUAGCUGUUUCUUCGGAGUUUGACACAAGGCCGAAUGAGCUGACAGAAUCAAGAGAUAAUAUCGUAGAAACGAAUGAGAAAAGAGAUACGAAAGUGCCAAAAACGGUGAAAUAUAGAAGAGGCAAAUUACAAACACACGACAAAUCAAGGAAUAUCGAGAA